rnacentral:rRNA from 1 species
UCAAGCAAAAAAGAGCGCAGGGUGGAUGCCUUGGCACUAAGAGCCGAAGAAAGACGUGAUAAGCUGCGAAAAGCUGCGGGGAGGAGCAAAUAUCCAUUGAGCCGCAGAUAUCUGAAUGGGGAAACCCGGCUGGACGAACUCCAGUCAUCCAUACGCCAAUCCAUAACGUAUGGAAGGGAACCCGGUGAACUGAAACAUCUAAGUAGCCGGAGGAAAAGAAAGAAACAUCGAUUCUGGGAGUAGCGGCGAGCGAAACCGGAGGAGCCUAAACCAGCGUGCGUGCAUGCUGGGGUUAAGGACUGCAACAAGUGACCGGAAGGUUAACAGAAUGGUUUUGGGAAAGCCAGCCAUAGAGGGUGAAAGCCCCGUAUGUGAAAACCGGAAGGAGCGGCAGGAUCCAGAGUACUACGAGACACGUGGAACCUUGUAGGAAAUCGGGGGGACCACCCCCCAAGGCUAAAUACUCCUUAGUGACCGAUAGCGCAUAGUACUGUGAAGGAAAGGUGAAAAGGACCCCGGGAGGGGAGUGAAAGAGAACCUGAAACCCUGUGUUUACAAGCUGUGGAAGUAUCUUAUGGAUACAACCGCGUACUUUUUGUAGAACGGUCCGGCGAGUUACGUCGGCUGGCGAGGUUAAGCACUAUAGGUGUGGAGCCGAAGGGAAACCAAGUCUUAAUAGGGCGUCCAGUCAGCCGGAGUAGACCCGAAACCGGGUGAUCUAUCCAUGUCCAGGAUGAAGUUGCCGUAAAAGGCAAUGGAGGUCCGAACGCACAUCUGUUGAAAAAGGUGGCGAUGAGGUGUGGAUAGGGGAGAAAUUCCAAUCGAACCCGGAGAUAGCUGGUUCUCCUCGAAAUAGCUUUAGGGCUAGCCUCGUAUUAGUCUAGUGGAGGUAGAGCACUGAAUUUCCUAGGGGGCGUCAAAGCUUACCGAAGAAUAUCAAACUCCGAAUGCCAUAUAGAUGAUGUACGGGAGUCAGACUGCACGAGAUAAGUUGGGCAGUCAAAAGGGAAAGAGCCCAGACCGCCAGCUAAGGUCCCAAAGUGUGUGUUAAGUGGAAAAGGAUGUGGGAUUUCGAAGACAACUAGGAUGUUGGCUCAGAAGCAGCCAUACAUUAAAAGAGUGCGUAAUAGCUCACUAGUCGAGAGGUCCUGCGCCGAAAAUGUCCGGGGCUGAAACACAACACCGAAGCUGCGGAACCCGCAAGGGUUGGUAGAGGAGCAUUCUUAAAGGAACGAAGCAGUACCGUAAGGAGCUGUGGACUUUUAAGAAGAGAGAAUGCCGGAAUGAGUAGCGAGAGUAAGGUGAGAAUCCUUACGGCCGAAUAUCCAAGGUUUCCAGGGUAAAGCUGAUCUGCCCUGGGGAAGUCGGGACCUAAGGCGAGGCCGAGAGGCGUAGCCGAUGGACAACAGGUUGAGAUUCCUGUACUACAGUAUGACAGAACUGUGGGGACGCAGAAGGAGAGCACUACCUGGAAUGGAAUCCAGGGGCAAGCACAGGAGGGGUACGGCUGGAAAAACCGCCGUGCAACCCAAAGGUGUGACGCAUACCGAACUAAAGUAGGGAAAUGUGUGAGCCGGCUGCCGAGAAAAGCCGCUAUUGUUUGUACUGUACCCGUACCGUAAACCGACACAGGUGGAUGAGGAGAGAAUCCUAAGGCCGACGGAAGAAGCAUUGCUAAGGAACUCGGCAAAAUGACCCUGUAACUUCGGGAGAAAGGGUGCCUCGAAAGAGGCCGCAGAGAAUAGGCCCAAGCAACUGUUUAGCAAAAACACAGGUCUAUGCAAAACCGCAAGGUGAAGUAUAUGGGCUGACGCCUGCCCGGUGCUGGAAGGUUAAGGGGAGAUGUCAGGAGACGAAGCAUCGAACUUAAGCCCCAGUAAACGGCGGCCGUAACUAUAACGGUCCUAAGGUAGCGAAAUUCCUUGUCGGGUAAGUUCCGACCC